ACGAACGCUGGCGGCGUGCUUAACCCCUGCAAGUCGCACGGAAAGGCCCUGCUUGCAGGGUACUCGAGUGGCGAACGGGUGAGUAACACGUGGGUGAUCUGCCCUGCACUUCGGGAUAAGCUUGGGAAACUGGGUCUAAUACCGGAUAGGAGCCAUCUUUAGUGUGGUGGUUGGAAAGUUUUUUCGGUGUAGGAUGAGCUCGCGGCCUAUCAGCUUGUUGGUGGGGUAAUGGCCUACCAAGGCGGCGACGGGUAGCCGGCCUGAGAGGGGGUACGGCCACAUUGGGACUGAGAUACGGCCCAGACUCCUACGGGAGGCAGCAGUGGGGAAUAUUGCACAAUGGGCGCAAGCCUGAUGCAGCGACGCCGCGUGGGGGAUGAAGGCCUUCGGGUUGUAAACUCCUUUCGCUAGGGACGAAGCUUUUUUGUGACGGUACCUAGAUAAGAAGCACCGGCUAACUACGUG
rnacentral:rRNA from 1 species